UAUUAGGGCAAUGUAGAUAUUUCAUUUUUAGUUUUUUUUAAUUAAAACAUUAUUAAAUUUAGUAAAGGAGAUUAAAAAUUAUUAUAAAUUCUUAAAUUUUAAGUACUGUAAAGGAAUAGCCUAAAUUAAGGAAAAGAAAAGAUUAGAUUUU
rnacentral:rRNA from 1 species